rnacentral:rRNA from 1 species
AGAGUUUGAUCAUGGCUCAGAGCGAACGCUGGCGGCGUGCUUAACACAUGCAAGUCGAACGGGUGUAGCAAUACAUUCGUGGCGAACGGGUGCGUAACACGUGGAUAACCUUCCUCCAGGUGGGGAAUAACCCCGCGAAAGCGGGGCUAAUACCGCAUAACAUCACGAUGGGACAUCCUGUUGUGAUCAAAGGAGCAAUUCGCCAGGAGAGGGAUCCGCGGCCGAUUAGCUAGUUGGCGAGGUAACGGCUCACCAAGGCGAUGAUCGGUAGCCGGUCUGAGAGGAUGAUCGGCCACACUGGAACUGAGACACGGUCCAGACUCCUACGGGAGGCAGCAGUGGGGAAUCUUGCGCAAUGGACGAAAGUCUGACGCAGCAACGCCGCGUGGGGGAUGAAGCUUCUCGGAGUGUAAACCCCUUUCGACCCGGACGAAUGCCCGCAAGGGCUUGACGGUACGGGUAUAAGAAGCCCCGGCUAACUACGUGCCAGCAGCCGCGGUAAGACGUAGGGGGCCAGCGUUGCUCGGAAUUACUGGGCGUAAAGGGUCCGUAGGCGGUGUGGCAAGUCGGGAGUGAAAUCUCUGGGCUUAACCCAGAGGCUGCUUCCGAAACUGCUGUGCUAGAGUGUGAGAGAGGCGAGUGGAAUUACGGGUGUAGCGGUGAAAUGCGUAGAUAUCCGUAGGAACAUCCGAGGCGAAAGCGGCUCGCUGGAUCACAACUGACGCUGAGGGACGAAAGCUAGGGGAGCAAACAGGAUUAGAUACCCCCGUAGUCC